rnacentral:lncRNA from 1 species
CCCCUGAUGCAAGCCUCCACUUUGAUCACCCCACUCUUAUACGAUGGGUGACGUCCCCGUCAAUUUCUCCGUCCCCCUGAAUCACAAACCCAAGAUAUCGGACACUGUCCCUCUUGGCGAUGGUCUGAGAACCAAUCAUCACGUCCCUGCCUACCUCGCUCGGCUCGGUGCCAAACUUGCACUCUAGGUAUUCUGUCUUACAUCUACUUAUUUUGAAACCUUUAGACUCGAGAUUCUGUCUCCAUACCUCUAACCUUUCAAUAACACCGACCCUCGUCUCAUCUAUCAAUACUAUAUCAUCAGCAAAUAGCAUACACCAAGGCACAUCCCCUUGAAUAUGUCGGGUUAGAGCAUCUAUCACC